rnacentral:tRNA from 1 species
GCAUCGGUAGUCUAACGGUAGGAUUUCGGCCUUCCAAGCCGGUGGUCCGGGUUCAAAUCCCGGCCGAUGCA